AUUCGGCUUAGAGUUUGAUCCUGGCUCAGAUUGAACGCUGGCGGCAGGCCUAACACAUGCAAGUCGAGCGGAUGAAGAGAGCUUGCUCUCUGAUUCAGCGGCGGACGGGUGAGUAAUGCCUAGGAAUGUGCCUAUUAGUGGGGGACAACGUUUCGAAAGGAACGCUAAUACCGCAUACGUCCUACGGGAGAAAGCAGGGGACCUUAGGGCCUUGUGUUAAUAGAUGAGCCUAGGUCGGAUUAGCUAGUUGGUGAGGUAAAGGCUCACCAAGGCGACGAUCCGUAACUGGUCUGAGAGGAUGAUCAGUCACACUGGAACUGAGACACGGUCCAGACUCCUACGGGAGGCAGCAGUGGGGAAUAUUGGACAAUGGGCGAAAGCCUGAUCCAGCCAUG
rnacentral:rRNA from 1 species